CUGCUAUCAGAAUGAGAUUAAGCCAUGCGAGUCAACGUAGCAAUACGUGGCACACGGCUCAGUAACACGUAGUCAACAUAACCAGAGGACGUGGAUAAACUCGGGAAACUGAGGCUAAACCGCGAUAGACCAAGGUACCUGGAAUAGUUUUUGAUCAAAAUCUAUAUGGCCUUUGGAUUGGACUGCGACCGAUCAGGCUGUUGGUGAGGUAAUGGCCCACCAAACCUGUAACCGGUACGGGCUCUGAGAGGAGGAGCCCGGAGAUGGGUACUGAGAAAAGGACCCAGGCCCUAUGGGGCGCAGCAGGCGCGAAACCUCUGCAAUAGGCGAAAGCCUGACAGGGUUAUUCUGAGUGACUUUCGCUAAGAAAGUCUUUUGACAUCUCUAAAAAUGGUGUAGAAUAAGGGGUGGGCAAGUCUGGUGUCAGCCGCCGCGGUAAUACCAGCACCCCGAGUGGUCGGGACGAUUAUUGGGCCUAAAGCAUCCGUAGCCGGUUUUACAAGUCCUCCGUUAAAUCCAACUGCUUAACAGAUGGGCCGCGGAGGAUACUAUAAGACUAGGAGGCAGGAGAGGCAAGCGGUACUCAGUGGGUAGGGGUAAAAUCCGUUGAUCCAUUGAAGACCACCAGUGGCGAAGGCGGCUUGCCAGAAUGCGCUCGACGGUGAGGGAUGAAAGCUGGGGGAGCAAACCGGAUUAGAUACCCGGGUAGUCCCAGCUGUAAACGAUGCAGACUCGGUGAUGGACUAGCUUAAUGCUAGUCCAGUGCCGCAGGGAAGCCGUUAAGUCUGCCGCCUGGGUAGUACGGUCGCAAGACU
rnacentral:rRNA from 1 species